GGAGAUGGAGGCCAUUAUCCUUAGCAAACUAAUUCAGGAACAGAAAACCAAAUUUCACAUAUUCUGACUUAUAAGUGGAAGCUAAAUGUUCUGAAGGUCAGAAGUUUGAAAUCAGUUUUGCUGGACUAAAAUCAAGUUUUCCACAAGCUGAAGUUUCUGGAGUCUAAAGCGAGGAAUCUACAUCCUUGAGUUUUUCAGCCUCUAGAGAACAGGAGCAUUCCUUAGCUCAUUGCUCCUUCCUCCAUCUUUAAAACAAGCAGUGAAACGUCUUCUGUCUUCUCUUGUGUUUGGUCCCUUCUUCCCACCUUAAAUUCUCUCUUUCUGACUUUAAUAUUUCUCUUAUAAAGGCCCUUGUGAUUAUAUUUAACCCCAAAAUAUAAUCCUGGAUAAUCUUCCCAUCUCAAGACCCUUACCAUAAUCACACCUGCAAAGACCUUUUUUUAAAAAAAAAUGUAAGGUAAAAUAUUUACAGCUUCCAGGGAUCGGAGUAUGGAUAUUUUGGGGUGCCAUUAUUAAGCCUACCACAGGUCACAUAAUGUGAAGAUUAUUGGUGAUCUAGAAAAAAACUAGGAUGGGACUUGAUGAGACAAAGUGUCCAGUCUGAAGGCAGAUUAAGGAAGGAGAGAAUUGUAGCCAUUGGAUAUAGAAAAUACUGUUCAGGACAUUUGAUGAAAACCACGGAAGGAAUAAUUGAGUACUCAUUGGCAGAAGUGCCAUUAAUAACUUGUUUUCCUCUUUUAAUUUAAAAUGUGAAAAAUAACAUAUUUUGUUGAUGGGCAUAGGAUAAUAGCAAAAACACUGAUGUAAAAGUAAAAGAAAAUAGUUUCUGGAAAGAUUUCCUUGAUUGAGCAAAUGAGGAUUAAAGCAUGAAUAAGAACAUGAAAAGUAUAUUUACGGAAACAGGAAAGUAGAAUGUAAGAGACAGACGACAGCACAUGGAUAGAUAUGAGGUUGACAGUUGAAAAAAGCCUUUGCCCAGUUCCGUCAGUGAAGUAGGACCUGAGUGUUGUUGAAUUAUUAUAGUGGCAUGUAAAAUGUUUAAAACAGUUCCCAAACUUUUCAGCACCAGGAACUGAUUUCGUGGCAGACAAUUUUUCCAUUGACAGGGUCGGGGGGAUGGGUUGGGGAUGAAACUGUUUCAACUCAGAUCAUCAAGCAUUAGAUUCUCAUAAGGAGCUGUGCAACCUAGAUCCCUCCUGUAUGCAGCUCCUAAUAGGAUUUGUGCUCCCAUGAGAAUCUAAUGUCCUUGCUGAACUGACAGGAGGCGGAGUUCAGAUAGUAAUGUGAAAUCUGUUGGUGCAAUUUUGACUUCUGAAGAGGAUGUACAUUACUCAUGUGUGCAUACUCCCUUUAUCACUUAUGGUGGGAUGUACUAAUUAAUGCUACUAUAUUAAAUGAUCUGGGAAUCUA